rnacentral:rRNA from 1 species
AACGAACGCUGGCGGCAGGCUUAACACAUGCAAGUCGAGCGAGACCUUCGGGUCUAGCGGCGGACGGGUGAGUAACGCGUGGGAACGUGCCCUUCUCUACGGAAUAGCCCCGGGAAACUGGGAGUAAUACCGUAUACGCCCUUUGGGGGAAAGAUUUAUCGGAGAAGGAUCGGCCCGCGUUGGAUUAGGUAGUUGGUGGGGUAAUGGCCCACCAAGCCGACGAUCCAUAGCUGGUUUGAGAGGAUGAUCAGCCACACUGGGACUGAGACACGGCCCAGACCCCUCCGGGCGGCGCCGGGGGGUAUUCUUAGAAAGGGGGGGCACCCUGGAUCUACCCUGCCCGGGUGAGUAAUGAGGCCUUGGGGGUGGAAAAGCUUUUUCGGCGGGAAAGAUAAUCCGGCCCCCAGAAAAAGACCCCCCGCCUACCCCCGUC